GAUGAACGCUGGCGGCGUGCUUAACACAUGCAAGUCGAACGGGAAAUCUUUUAUUGAAGCUUCGGCAGAUAUAGCUGGUUUCUAGUGGCGGACGGGUGAGUAACGCGUGGGUAACCUGCCCUAUACAGGGGGAUAACAACCAGAAAUGGUUGCUAAUACCGCAUAAGCGCACAGGACCGCAUGGUUCGGUGUGAAAAACUCCGGUGGUAUAGGAUGGACCCGCGUUGGAUUAGCCAGUUGGCAGGGUAACGGCCUACCAAAGCGACGAUCCAUAGCCGGCCUGAGAGGGUGAACGGCCACAUUGGGACUGAGACACGGCCCAGACUCCUACGGGAGGCAGCAGUGGGGAAUAUUGCACAAUGGGGGAAACCCUGAUGCAGCGACGCCGCGUGAAGGAAGAAGUAUCUCGGUAUGUAAACUUCUAUCAGCAGGGAAGAUAGUGACGGUACCUGACUAAGAAGCCCCGGCUAACU
rnacentral:rRNA from 1 species